AGAUUUGAUCCUGGCUCAGAUUGAACGCUGGCGGAAUGCUUUACACAUGCAAGUCGAACGGCAGCACGGGGGCAACCCUGGUGGCGAGUGGCGAACGGGUGAGUAAUACAUCGGAACGUGCCCAGUCGUGGGGGAUAACGUAGCGAAAGCUACGCUAAUACCGCAUACGAUCUAUGGAUGAAAGCGGGGGACCGUAAGGCCUCGCGCGAUUGGAGCGGCCGAUGGCAGAUUAGGUAGUUGGUGGGGUAAAGGCUCACCAAGCCUGCGAUCUAUAGCUGGUCUGAGAGGACGACCAGCCACACUGGGACUGAGACACGGCCCAGACUCCUACGGGAGGCAGCAGUGGGGAAUUUUGGACAAUGGGCGCAAGCCUGAUCCAGCCAUUCCGCGUGCAGGAUGAAGGCCUUCGGGUUGUAAACUGCUUUUGUACGGAACGAAAAGGCUCUUUCUAAUACAGAGAGCUCAUGACGU
rnacentral:rRNA from 1 species